rnacentral:tRNA from 1 species
GGGGUUGUGGCUUAGUGGUAGAGUACUUGCCUAGCACGUAUGAGGCACUGGGUUUGAUUCUCAGCACCA